rnacentral:lncRNA from 1 species
UUUCUUAAAAGUGGUUUGAAUGCUUCUCUUGCAAUAGAAUUGACCCCUCUCUUUCUAUCUCUUCCCAUAUACUACUAUUUAUAUGGAAUAUUCUAAAGAACCCUAGAAGGUACGAGGGAACAUGUUUAAUAUUCCCUUCAUUGAUUCCAAAACCAAACUGAACGUUAUUUCCCUUCCCUGCUUGAUGUCUGCCCUAGCGAGCCACUUUAUGGCUCGUUUCGCUUGUCAUCGACUUCGGCCUUAAUGAACCCUUCAAUGGCUUGCCCUGGUCGUACUCGGCUGAGCCGACCAUGGUGAGCUACGAUCUCAAUGGUGAUCACCUUUGGGUAUUGAGUUUCCAAGAUCAGAUUUGAGUCCAUACAAUAUUGUCCUCAUUGACGAGUAACAUACAGUCAAGCUUGACCAAAAAAUAUUUGAAGAACGAACACCAACACUUACCUAUUGCAGCAGCAAUCAAGGAGCAGCAGGCGCUCUAAAUUGCUAACUUGUCAAUUGCAACAACAACUAACGAACAGCAGAAGCAGCAUCAACAACUGACGGGUUACGUGCUCCAGCUCACAAAAUCCACUCCAAUUACACAUUCUAACUGGAGUCUCAAAGUCAUUCUAAGCAGCAGCUAAUCAUAGAAAGGCAAUCCCCAAAAACUAGAAAGAAAAUGGUUAAACACAGAGGCAACAAGAAAGAAAAUGGUUAAACAUUGGUAAUUUUUCGUAAAUCACUAUCUUUUAAUAGUAAUUAGAAUACAUUUUUUGUGGUUAUAAGAUGUAUUCGAUGUAUUUAAGCUAUUGUAUUAUGAAUACAGUAACAAAAAUAUGCGUGAAUCAGUGAAGUCCAACUAAUUACCUGUUGCAUUCGAGUGUAUUCGACUGUAUUUAUGGAGUAAAACGUGAGAUUACAGUUGGACAGAUUAUUGUAUUCGACUGUAUUUACAGUGUG